rnacentral:rRNA from 1 species
CCUACGGGAGGCAGCAGUGAGGAAUAUUGGUCAAUGGACGAGAGUCUGAACCAGCCAAGUAGCGUGAAGGAUGACGGCCCUAUGGGUUGUAAACUGCGUUUAUAAAGGAAUAAAACGAGGCACGUGUGCCUGUUUGCAUGUACCUUAUGAAUAAGGAUCGGCUAACUCCGUGCCAGCAGCCGCGGUAAUACGGAGGAGCCGAGCGUUAUCCGGAUUUAGUGGGGUUAAAGGGAGCGUAGUUGGGUUGUUAAGUCAGUUGUGAAAGUUUGCGGCUCAACCGUAAAAUUGCACUUGCUACUGGCAGUCUUGAGUACAGUUGAUGUCGGCGGACUUCUUUGUGUCGCGG